rnacentral:rRNA from 2 species
UGGUGGCGAUGCGCUUAGGGGACACACCCGUUCCCAUCCCGAACACGAUGGUUAAGACCUAAGCGGCCGAUGGUACUUUACUGGAGACGGUACGGGAGAGUAGGUGGCUGCCAGAGUU